rnacentral:rRNA from 1 species
UACGAAGGGGGCUAGCGUUGCUCGGAAUCACUGGGCGUAAAGCGCACGUAGGCGGACUCUUAAGUCAGGGGUGAAAUCCUGGAGCUCAACUCCAGAACUGCCUUUGAUACUGGGAGUCUUGAGUUCGGGAGAGGUGAGUGGAACUGCGAGUGUAGAGGUGAAAUUCGUAGAUAUUCGCAAGAACACCGGAGGCGAAGGCGCCUGCCUGGCAGUGUAUUGACGCUGAGGUGCGAAAGUGCGGGGAGCAAACAGG